UCCAGACUCCCUACGGGAGGCAGCAGUGGGGGAUAUUGCACAAUGGGGGGAACCCUGAUGCAGCGACGCCGCGUGGGUGAAGGAGCGUUUCGGCGCGUAAAGCCCUGUCAGCAGGGAAGAAAAUGACGGUACCUGAAGAAGAAGCCCCGGCUAACUACGUGCCAGCAGCCGCGGUAAUACGUAGGGGGCAAGCGUUAUCCGGAUUUACUGGGUGUAAAGGGGGCGCAGACGGCGAUGCAAGCCAGGAGUGAAAGCCCGGGGCCCAACCCCGGGACUGCUCUUGGAACUGCGUGGCUGGAGUGCAGGAGGGGCAGGCGGAAUUCCUGGUGUAGCGGUGAAAUGCGUAGAUAUCAGGAGGAACACCGGUGGCGAAGGCGGCCUGCUGGACUGCAACUGACGUUGAGGCCCGAAAGCGUGGGGAGCAAACAGGAUUAGAUACCCCAGUA
rnacentral:rRNA from 1 species